UCAAUGGAGAGUUUGAUCCUGGCUCAGGACGAACGCUGGCGGCGUGCUUAACACAUGCAAGUCGAACGAUGAAGUUCCUUCGGGAAUGGAUUAGUGGCGAACGGGUGAGGAACACGUGAGAAACCUGCCCAUCAUUUUGGGAUAACACCGGGAAACCGGUGCUAAUACCGAAUACUCCAUCGCAACGGCAUCGUUGCGCUGGGAAAGAAUUUCGAUGAUGGAUGGUCUCGCGGCCUAUCAGCUUGUUGGUGAGGUAACGGCUCACCAAGGCGACGACGGGUAGCCGGCCUGAGAGGGCGACCGGCCACACUGGGACUGAGACACGGCCCAGACUCCUACGGGAGGCAGCAGUGGGGAAUAUUGGGCAAUGGACGCAAGUCUGACCCAGCGACGCCGCGUGAGGGAUGAAGGCCUUCGGGUUGUAAACCUCUUUCAGUAGGGAAGAAGCGAAAGUGACGGUACCUAAAGAAGAAGCACCGGCUAACUAUGUGCCAGCAGCCGCGGUAAUACAUAGGGUGCAAGCGUUGUCCGGAAUUAUUGGGCGUA
rnacentral:rRNA from 1 species